GACGUAGGGCGCGAGCGUUGUCCGGAUUUAUUGGGCGUAAAGAGCUCGUAGGCGGCUUGUCGCGUCGACUGUGAAAUCCCGCGGCUCAACUGCGGGUCUGCAGGUCGAUACGGGCAGGCUAGAGUUCGGUAGGGGAGACUGGAAUUCCUGGUGUAGCGGUGAAAUGCGCAGAUAUCAGGAGGAACACCGAUGGCGAAGGCAGGUCUCUGGGCCGAUACUGACGCUGAGGAGCGAAAAGCGUGGGGAGCGAACAGG
rnacentral:rRNA from 1 species